AUAUGACAAAUACACCUUAUUCGAUGCUUUAGCAUAUAAUGCGUGCAGAUGUUUUGCGAGUUGCGUAGUAUUUUUCCAAACCCG